AGGACGAACGCUGGCGGCGCGCCUAACACAUGCAAGUCGAGCGAGAACCAGGGCUUGCCCUGGGGAAAGCGGCGAACGGGUGCGUAACACGUGAGCAACCUGCCCCAAAGACCGGGACAACCCGAGGAAACUCGGACUAAUACCGGAUGCCCUCACCGGGCCGCAUGGUCUGGUGAGGAAAUGGAUUCCGCUUUGGGAUGGGCUCGCGGUCUAUCAGCUUGUUGGUGGGGUAACGCCUACCAAGGCGACGACGGAUAGCUGGUCUGAGAGGACGAUCAGCCACACUGGGACUGAGACACGGCCCAGACUCCUACGGAGGCAGCAGUGGGGAAUCUUGCGCAAUGGGGGAAACCCUGACGCAGCGACGCCGCGUGCGGGAUGAAGGCCUUCGGGUUGUAAACCGCUUUCAGCAGGGACGAAAUUGACGGUACCUGCAGAAGAAGGCCGGCCAACUACGUGCCAGCAGCCGC
rnacentral:rRNA from 1 species